AAAUAUCCAUGACGUUAAGGUGUGGCAAUGGCGGUAUGCAUGUCUAGGAUUGGAUCCGAAGGGAGCUUGGUACUUAAGCAGUCCGAUGGACUCACCACCUCUUUUUCGGUUUCCUACCUGGUGCACAGCUUCCAUUCACUUUAACCUAUAAUGAAAUUAUCUUUUAAAACACUAAGUAGGUUUUUCUGGAUCAACAAUAUAAAAUGUUUUGAACGCUUCGAUGUGGCAUGUCGGAUCUGGCCAUAACGUCUGGGCCGGGUUUGGGGUGUUACAAUAUAGACCUUUUGGAAACAAUGAAUGACAUUGCGAUGUUGACAUCAAGCUCUCAACGUUGCGACGAGAACAAAUCAGUGAGUUGCAUCGCGACCUGGAACUCCCGAAGUCUAUUAUAAUGAUGUUUUGAACUAAAUAAUAUGUAUUAGCUAUGAAAUUGAAUUGUAUUUAGUUGUAGUUGCUCCAGAAAAGAAUGUGACAUCCCGUAGCUUAGACUUGAUGAUCAGGUCGAAUAUGAGAUGUUACAGCUGCCAACAAUCUCUUAGCCUAAUGGCAAGAGUAUUAUGUUGUAGGCAUAAGAGUUUGGGUUCAAUUCCAAGCAACC
rnacentral:lncRNA from 1 species